UUAGUAUUCUAAGGCGCUUGAGAGAACUCUGGAGAAGGAACUCGGCAAAUUGACACCGUAACUUCGGAAGAAGGUGUGCCUUUAGUAGGUGAACCAUUUACUUGGGGAGCCCAAUGAGGCCGCAGAGAAUCGGUGGCUGCAACUGUUUAUUAAAAACACAGCACUCUGCAAAGACGAAAGUCGACGUAUAGGGUGUGACUCCUGCCCGGUGCUGGAAGAUUAAAUGAUGGGGUGCAAGCUCUUGACUGAAGUCCCAGUAAACGGCGGCCGUAACUAUAACGGUCCUAAGGUAGCGAAAUUCCUUGUCGGGUAAGUUCCGACCUGCACGAAUGGAGUAAUGAUGGCCACACUGUCUCCUCCAGAGACUCAGCGAAGUUGAAAUGUUUGUGAUGAUGCAAUCUCCCCGCGGAAAGACUGAAAGACCCCAUGAACCUUUACUGUAGCUUUACAUUGGACUUUGAACAGAUCUGUGUAGGAUAGGUGGGAGGCUUUGAAGAGUGGACGCUAGUUUGCUUGGAGCCAACGUUGAAAUACCACCCUGGUGUGUUUGAGGUUCUAACCUUGGUCCCUUAUCGGGAUUGGGGACAGUGUAUGGUGGGCAGUUUGACUGGGGCGGUCUCCUCCCAAAGUGUAACGGAGGAGUUCGAAGGUACGCUAAAUACGGUCGGAAAUCGUGUUGAUAGUGCAUUGGCAUAAGCGUGCUUGACUGCGAGACUGACAAGUCGAGCAGGUACGAAAGUAGGACAAAGUGAUCCGGUGGUUCUGUAUGGAAGGGCCAUCGCUCAACGGAUAAAAGGUACUCUGGGGAUAACAGGCUGAUACCGCCCAAGAGUUCAUAUCGACGGCGGUGUUUGGCACCUCGAUGUCGGCUCAUCUCAUCCUGGGGCUGUAGCCGGUCCCAAGGGUAUGGCUGUUCGCCAUUUAAAGAGGUACGUGAGCUGGGUUUAAAACGUCGUGAGACAGUUUGGUCCCUAUCUUCCGUGGGCGCUGCAAGAUUGAGAGAGCCUGCUCCUAGUACGAGAGGACCGGAGUGGACGCACCUCUGGUGUAUCGGUUGUCACGCCAGUGGCAUCGCCGAGUAGCUAAGUGCGGAAGAGAUAACCGCUGAAAGCAUCUAAGCGGGAAACUCGUCUCAAGAUGAGUCUUGCCGGGGCCUAGAGCCCCCUGAAGGGUCGUUCGAGACCAGGACGUUGAUAGGCUGGGCGUGGAAGCGCGGUAACGCGUUAAGCUAACCAGUACUAAUUGCCCGUGAGGCUUGACCCC
rnacentral:rRNA from 1 species